rnacentral:rRNA from 1 species
GAUGAACGCUGGCGGCGUGCCUAAUACAUGCAAGUCGAGCGAAAAGACGAGGCGUUUGCUCCUCUGAAGUUAGCGGCGGACGGGUGAGUAACACGUGGAUAACCUACCUAUACGACUGGGAUAACUUCGGGAAACCGGAGCUACUACCGGAUACUAUAUUGAACCGCAUGGUUCAAUAGUGAAAGACGGUUUUGCUGUCCCUUAUAGAUGGCUCCGCGCCGCAUUAGCGAGUUGGUAAGGUAACGGCUUACCAAGGCAACGAUGCGUAGCCGACCUGGGAGGGUGUACGGCCACACAGGGAGUGAGACACGACCCAGACUCUGAGAGGAGGCAGCGGUUGGGAAGCGUCCGCGAUGGGCGGAAGCCUGACGGAGCAGCGCCGCGUUGAUGAUGAAGGGCUUCGGAUCGGAAAACUCUGUUAGUGGGGAAGAACAAAUGUGUAAGUAACGAUGCACGUCUUGACGGUACCUAGUCAGAAAGCCACGGCUAACUACGUG